rnacentral:rRNA from 1 species
AACGAACGCUGGCGGCGCGCCUAAUACAUGCAAGUCGAGCGAGAAGACGUAGCAAUACGUUUGUAAAGCGGCGAACGGGUGAGGAAUACAUGGGUAACCUACCCUCGAGUGGGGAAGUAACUAGCCGAAAGGUUAGCUAAUACCGCGUACGCUCCUUGGACUUCGGUUCAGGGAGGAAAGCGAUACCGUGGGUAUCGCGCUCUUGGAUGGGCUCAUGUCCUAUCAGCUUGUUGGUGAGGUAACGGCUCACCAAGGCUUCGACGGGUAGCUGGUCUGAGAGGACAAUCAGCCACACUGGCACUGCGACACGGGCCAGACUCCUACGGGAGGCAGCAGUAAGGAAUAUUGCGCAAUGGGCGAAAGCCUGACGCAGCGACGCCGC